GUGAGGCUUUCGUUGGGGAAGUGGACAUCACUGGUGAUGCUCUAAGUUUUGCAAGGUGAUGAAUGGUUCAUACUUGCUGGGUAUGGGGGUUUUCGAUGGACCAGUGGCUAACUUAUGCAUGAAAAACUCCACGGGGAGAAAAAUGUAUUUCUAAGGUAGAGAAUGGUUAUCUUCCUGGGGUUGAAAAGAUCCAAAGGUGAUGAAGGCAUAACAUGUUUCAUCAUGGUAUUCUUUAACUUGGGAUGUUGGUUUGUUGGGGUGGAUGGACCACUGAAAGUAGUGGCUUCACUGGGGAUGCUGAUCCCCUAAAUUACAAUCCACUGGGAGAGAUGGGCCAUCGGCUUACAUUGGGGUAUACGGUCCAUUGGCAGUAGAAGUCAACUGGGGAUGAUGUAUCAUCCAGAGUGAUGGACCACCAAGGUUGGUGGUUUAUUUGUGAAUUGAUGGACCACCGGCGAUGGUGUAUCAUCAGGGGUUCUUAUGGCGCUCUGAGCAUGACAUCACUCAUGGGGUUUCAUGAAAGUUCAAAUGAGCAAGGUAUGUUUGGUACAGAUCCAUGGGAAUAAUGGAGUUUUAAGGUGAAGCCCAAGUGAGCAAGGGUUGUUGGGAUGGUUCGUGAUGGGGAUAGGGUUGUUGAUUGGGAUGGUUUGGGAUUCCCAUGGUUUUACUUAAUUCACUCCCUUCCAAUUGUAGAUUUGUAUAUCUGAAUAGAGGGUCAUACUGGAUUUAUGAAUUCAUGGCCCAUGAUGGGAUAGAGAAAUAGAAAUGGAUUUGACGGGUCCACGCCUAGGCGCGGGCAGAUAUUUUUAUUGAGAGAGUGAGAGAUAAAAAGGAAUUUGACAGGCUCGCGCCAAGGUGCAGGUGUGGGACUUUAUAAAGAAGAGUAGGAGAGAGAUGGUUUUACCCAGAAAAUUUUACAGUCGGUAAAAAACGAGCUUUUUACCCUAUCUCGAAGUUCCACUGUAGAGAGAGAGAACUUCUUUGAGUCACUUUCUUGAAGCUAUGGCCAUGGUUAGGUACCAGCUCUCGUCAUCCCAAAGCCAAGAUUCUUGUUGUGCCCCAAUUACCAUGCCCUGGAGAAUUCGGCAUUGGUAAAUAUACCGGUGCUUCCUUUGCAAGAUCCACCACUCUAGCUGUUUUCGACCCAAUCAGAAGUUAGAGUGGCCUUUGAGCAUCACCUAUGUAGGUGAAGAUGCGUGGUUCUAUCUUUAUGAAGAUGACAAUGGUGAGCCCGUGUUCCAAGGAGAUGGUGUACCUAUAUACCAUGCUCUUCAUAGAAAUUUCGAUUCAAGCGAGAAUAUGCCCACUCUGGGCAAGAGGAUGAUGGCAAAACUGGGUUUGCACUAGGCGUGAGGUGGAUUCCGUUUUGUGUGGGAGCACCAAUACUUUGAGAGGGUACAACACUUGGACAUUUGAUGUCCUUGAAUCACAUGCCGGAGCUUUAGAAGCAUGCGGUGUAGGUGAAGCAUGUCAGUGUUCUGCUGGCUACUAUGAUAAGUGUUCUAACACCAUUAGGGCCUUAUUGGAGACUUGGUGCUUCAAGAGCAACAAGUGGCAUUUGGAUUGUGGUGAGGGAGGAACUACCCUUCUUGACAUGCAUUUCAUUGUGGGACUUCGCAUGCUGAGAUUCAUGUAUGAAGAGUUUAUCCUUGACAACGAAGUGAUCUUCGGGGAUAAACCUAUCAAUGGUGUGCUUGCACGUCCGGGUCUUCGGGAGCUGUUUGAAGUUAAACCAGCUCCUAUAUUCAGAAGAAAGGACGAAGUCUAAGGCUGUGUACUUUAUAGCAUGGAGAGACUUCUUUCAUGGAGACCGCUGUGACAAGCAGGAACCCAGUUCUGCCGUCAUCUGGGACGUUGACGACCAAGGAUUGAGGGAAGAAGAGGACACCAAAGAGCCCGUAUGCCCCCCAAGGAUGUCCGAGAAGGACAUUGUGUAUUUGGCUUCCUACUUGGCUCUUUUCUUGUGCACGUUUGCACUCUCAGUCCUUCGCCCUGGCUGCUUUUAUGUAGCUUGCCGACUUGCUCAGGGGGCAAUUGCGCUUGGUAAAGCUACUACCAAAGAUAACAAGACUGAGCCCUUUGGAGGGGAAGUACGUCCUGGCCGCUUCAGGACAAGCUUCCCUGUUCAUUACAUAUUCGGCUGGCUUUCUGCCUAUUUUCCAGGAGCAAAUGAGAUAAAAAAUGAUCUUACAGGUUUUGCCUGCCCUCAUAUGUUAAAAAUUGCAGGAAUGAAAACCAUUUUCAGGGGGCCAGUUUAAGCGCGUAAGUUCCUGGCAGAUGCUUCCUUCUCUUCUCAAGGUUCGUGCGAGAGAGCUUUUGUCUCAAGUAUUGGAGGCUCUUCUUGUCAUCCGGGGUCUUGUAGUACAAAAAACCAAUUGAUUAGUGAUUGCAAUCUGCUAUUUAAUGUAUCUCUUGGACAGUCUUCUGCUUGAGAUUAGUAAAAACAAGCGCCAUUUCAUAUGAGUUUGCAUUUCUGGUUAGCAGAUCCUUGGAGAAGAAAGAAAGGGACGAAAAUCUCUGUGGGAGGACAUCCACUGUAGUACAGAGCUCUUGAGGCAUUCGACUCCCUAUGAAAGUAUUGUCUAAUCCCAUUAGAGGAGCCCUAGGAGAACAAUAUGAAUGAUGAUGUACUUGGGGACAUUGGAGAGAGUACCUCUCGAUCGGAGGAUCAGAUCAUGACACAGCCCAUUACUACACCAGCGCUAAUGGAGGUGGUUGGACGGGUAUACUAUACUUGUGUUAUGAAUGCCUCAACAUCAGCAUCUCCUUCCUCUCCCCUCAACAUUACUAAUUCAAAAAAUGGGAAUGAGUGUGGUGCUCAAGCUAUAGUGGAUGAAGUUUGCCAUGAUUUUCCAUCUGAUGAGGACAUAGUUGCAAUAAAUGGAAGAGGAGAUCCGUUACUUAUAGAUGUUGAGGCAGCCCAAGCAAGUGGUGCAAGUAUCGAACCGGCAAUAGGAAUGACAUUUACUAAGGAAGAUGUAGCUUAUGAUUAUUAUAAAUAAAUCCUUACCUUAAAAUUCACCAAAGAUUGUAGUUUUGACAUUGGAAAACUUUCAAGUCAGUUAUUUCGGCCUUGACCAUUAUGGUUGUGAACAAAAAGUAUUGGUAUUUUCAAACCCUAAAGAUAGCAUAUAUUGUUACCCAUUA